GUCUUAUUGUUAAUAAUUUUAAGUUUGGCCUGCCCACUGAUUUUUUGAAUGGCCGCGGUAUUUUGACCGUGCAAAGGUAGCAUAAUAAUUAGUUUUUUAAUUAAAAGCUGGAAUGAAGGGUUGGAUGAAAAAAUAACUGUCUUCUAUUUAAAUUUUAGAAUUUUAUUUUUAAGUUAAAAAGCUUAAAUAUUUUUAAAAGACGAGAAGACCCUAUAGAGUUUUAUAAAUUUAUUUAUAUUAAAUUUUUAGUAUUUUUAACUUAAUUAAUUAAAUUUAUUUAAUUGGGGUGAUUAAAAAAUUUAAUAAACUUUUUUUAUUAUUUUACAUUAAUAUAUGAAUAUUUGAUCCAUUAAUAAUGAUUAUAAGAUAAAAUUACCUUAGGGAUAACAGCGUAAUUUUUUUAGAGAGUUCUAAUCGAUAAAAAAGAUUGCGACCUCGAUGUUGGAUUAAAAUUAAUUUUUGGUGUAGAAGCUAGGAAUAUUAGGUCUGUUCGACCUUUAAAAUUUUACA
rnacentral:rRNA from 1 species